rnacentral:rRNA from 1 species
UACGUAGGGGGCAAGCGUUAUCCGGAUUUACUGGGUGUAAAGGGAGCGUAGACGGUGUGGCAAGUCUGAUGUGAAAGGCAUGGGCUCAACCUGUGGACUGCAUUGGAAACUGCCAUACUUGAGUGCCGGAGGGGUAAGCGGAAUUCCUAGUGUAGCGGUGAAAUGCGUAGAUAUUAGGAGGAACACCAGUGGCGAAGGCGGCUUACUGGACGGUAACUGACGUUGAGGCUCGAAAGCGUGGGGAGCAAACAGG